UAAAAUUAGAUGUGUCUAAAUGAUUAAAAAU
rnacentral:piRNA from 1 species